ensembl:snRNA U6 U6 spliceosomal RNA
UUGCUUCAGCAGCACUUAUAUUAAACUUGGAAUGAUACAGAGAAGAUUAGCAUGUUCUUUGCAUAAGGAUGACACACAAAUUCAUGAAAAAGAAAGAAAGAAA